rnacentral:tRNA from 1 species
GGGGUUGUAGCUUAGUGGUGGAGCGCUUGCCUAGCAUGCAUGAGGCACAGGGUUGGAGUCUCAACACCA